rnacentral:rRNA from 1 species
UACUCCUACGGGAGGCAGCAGUGGGGAAUUUUCCGCAAUGGGCGAAAGCCUGACGGAGCAACGCCGCGUGAGGGACGAAGGCCUCUGGGCUGUAAACCUCUUUUCUCAAGGAAGAAGAUAUGACGGUACUUGAGGAAUAAGCCACGGCUAAUUCCGUGCCAGCAGCCGCGGUAAUACGGGAGUGGCAAGCGUUAUCCGGAAUUAUUGGGCGUAAAGCGUCCGCAGGCGGCUUUUCAAGUCUGCUGUUAAAGCGUGGAGCUUAACUCCAUCAUGGCAGUGGAAACUGAAAGGCUUGAGUAUGGUAGGGGCAGAGGGAAUUCCCGGUGUAGCGGUGAAAUGCGUAGAUAUCGGGAAGAACACCAGUGGCGAAGGCGCUCUGCUGGGCCAUUACUGACGCUCAUGGACGAAAGCCAGGGGAGCGAAAGGGAUUAGAUACCCCUGUAGUCCUGGCCGUAAACGAUGAACACUAGGUGUCGGGGGAAUCGACCCCUUCGGUGUCGUAGCUAACGCGUUAAGUGUUCCAAUCACGAAUUCUGG